rnacentral:piRNA from 1 species
UAAUGUUUUAUAAUUGUCAGAUAAAGCCUC